rnacentral:tRNA from 1 species
GCUCUUGUAGCUCAGGGGUAGAGCACAUCCUUGGUAAGGAUGAGGUCAUGGGUUCAAUUCCCAUCAAGAGCU